rnacentral:misc_RNA from 1 species
AUUAUCCAAUAUCCAAGGACAUCUUCACCCUUUAGACUCAAACUCCAAGGUUGGAGAAGGAUUGGUGAAGCUCUCUCCAGAGGUUUCUCAAGCUUUGUCAUGUGGGCAUGCUGUUGUUGCCUUAGAGUCCACUAUUAUUUCCCAUGGGAUGCCAUAUCCUCAAAAUUUGGAGACAGCAAAAGAGGUUGAGGCAAUUGUGAGGGAGAAUGGAGCAGUUCCUGCUACAGUUGCAAUUUUAGAUGGCAAACCAUGCAUAGGUUUAAGCAUGGAAGAGUUGGAGAGACUUGCUACUCUGGGAACUAGAGCACAAAAAACUGCUCGGAGGGAC